rnacentral:lncRNA from 1 species
CAGCUGUAAGCAACAAGGCUGAAGUCUCUGCUGCUCCACAACCUACCUGCCAGUUUGGUCACAGGUAUCUCCCAAGAUACACAAUCACCUGGAGUGGAAGCUUCAGGACAACAGGGCUGGGAACCUGCGUGUUUCAGAUAAGAUACCUCUUGGAUACCUCUUGAUUCACUCUUCUUCCUGCCACUGUGGUGAGGAUCAUUGAGUCUUUGACCAGCUUUAUGCAGCUUCCGAUUCCACAUGCGCCACUUCCACAGGGUCCCCCAGACCCUCGACCGUGAACUUCAGCAAUCAGACCUCUCUGCCCUCUGUGCACCGGCCCUGUUUAAACGCGGUUCCUGAGCCCUUGCUGCCAUUUCACAACUGGAGACUUCCCUUCUCCCACACCCUCCAUCGGUUCUGUUCACUGUCAACAACCCAGAAGCUUCCACUGGGAAACACGGUCUGCAUACCCAGAGCACGACAGUUAUCUUGCUCCAUGCCCCAGGGAGGGAUGAUUGAUGGAAGCCAAGGCCUGUUUCUUCCAAAGAGCUCUGCACACAAACAUAAGAAAAACCCAGUUGACUCUACAAAUACCAGCUCCAAUUCUUUCAUGUUGAGGCACACCUGUAGAGUGAUCCACAGUGCUUUUCUUUGCAAAAAAAAAAAAAAAAAAAAAACAAAAACAAACAAACAAACAAACAAAAAAAACUGGUAGUCCCCUGGAGCUAAGACUGAGCUGAGUGACUGGAAUCACUCUGAGGCUGAGAAGGGCUAAGAAGGAGGCAGUGAGCUUUGGGCAGGCUCCUUGCAUGGCCUUGCAGAAAGCAAGAGGACCUAGAAGGUGGGGAGGGAAAGUGGAGGCCAGAGGACAAGGCCCUGGGAAGGGGCAUGUGUGAGAGGUUUUCAGGGAAGAGCUAGGAAUGCGGCAGGUUGGGAUUGGGCAUGGGUGGGGACUGUUAGAUUUAGGGAUGCUACCCAAAUGCCAGGGGGAGGAAUCUGUUUCAACCCAGUGGCCAGUGGGUAGUUGGUGAAGAUUUUGUACCUUUAUAACUUAAUUUCUGUUAGAAGUAUUGCUCAGAAUCACUAUUUAUGCUGUGUUUUCAAAGAUUUACCACACUUAUGACUAUAAUGAUGUUACUUCUUGAGCCAUUUUUCUUCCUUGGAGAAACACAUACUCGAUUUCAUAAUGAAAAUCAAUGAGAAAGUACAAAUUUGUGCAAAUAAAUUCAAUGUACAGCUCAAUAUGCCUGGAUGUUACCUCCACCGUAUGAGAUAUGUCUGCACUGAUUCAUUGAACAUAAACCCUGGGGAAGGGGGCUCUUCCAGGCCUAUCCUGGCAUCUUCGAUUCCAACUCCAGCCUCUUGUCCCCAGCGAGCUUCCCCUAGCAGCCAGGACAGACAAUUACCUUUUCAAAACUUGAAUACUGUUAACAGCUCCCUUGUAACUUACCAACCCUCUCCUUGUCAUUUUAGACUUCGCUAUUCCAGUGAUAAAUAAUCUGAAUUUUUAAAAUGGAUUCUCAGAGGCUGUAUUUUAAUCUAUAUGCUUGUGCUUUAAAUCAAUAACCAAUAACCAAUUUAAGCUCAUUUAAGCCCUGUUAGCUGCCACAUAAUGUUGGUGUUCUGCUCGGCAUCAUAGCUAACAAUUUAUGUUAAAGGGUGCUCAGCUUAUUUUUUUUGAAGUUCUACAGCUGUCUGCUGCGUGACUGGAGAGCUGAUGACUUUGAGCUAUAGCAGCAUUCUCUCCAAGUUCAUUUCGAUACUGAAAACCAAAAUGAACUAUUAAAACUCAUUACCAUUUUUAUCUCUAAUGGUGCAGAUUCCAUUUUCUAUCAUUUUAUUCACAUCUGAAAAGCAAAUUGUAUUUGCAUAAGGAAGGGGGGGAUCUCUUGGAUUUUUUUUUCAUUCUUUUUCUAAAAAAUUAAGAAAAAAUAUACAUAAUGGUUUCUAGGAGGGGGAAAAGUGCCAUCCAAAUACAUCUGUUAAGAAAAUCAAAAUUCCAGAAGCUUGAUCUUAGGGACUAAACCUUUCUCUCCUCCCACCUCACCCUCAGCCCCAGCCAACAUCCAUCUGCUGAAGUCCUAACCCCAAGGACCUCAGACUGUGGCUGUAUUUGGAGACAGGGUCUUUGUAGAGGUAAUCAAGUUUAAAUGAGGUUAUUAGUGUGGACCCAAUCGGUGUCCUUCUAAGAAGAGGAGACUAGGGCACAGACAAACGCAGAGGCAUGACCACGUGAGGACACAGUGAGAAGAAGGCUACAUUCAAGCCCAAAAGGAAGGCAAGAAGCCGAUUCUCCCUCACAUCCCUCAGAAGGAACCAGCUCUGCCAGCAUUUUGAUCUGGGAUUUCUGGGCUUCAGAACCAUGAAACUAUGAAUUUCUCUGGUACUUUGUUAAAGGAACCCUAGCAAAGUAAGGCAUUUACAACAUGAAGGAAAUGACUGAAGUACUGAAGAUUUGUUCAUUGUAAUAAUAGCAGAUAUCAUUUAACAUUAUUUUCUAUUGCCAGAAAAUGUUCUAAAUGUGUUCAAAUAUUAUCUCAUUUAAUCCUCAAAAAUUUCCGUGAGGCGUUACUGUUAUCCCCAGUUUUGCAGGUAAGGAAACUCAUGGACAGGUUGCUGAGUCAUUGGUUCAAGGCUGUCACAUGAAUGGAGAGAAACCAGGCCGUCUCUACUCCAGAGUUGGUGCUCUGAACCAUGCCGUGGCACAUCACUCUGGAAUCUUGGAUUUUGCUGAGUGUGAAGUAAAAUUGUGUGCAAGCAACAAGCCUGGCUUCAUUAAGCCACCUUUACCUGGAAUACUCUUUUUUGCUAACACCUUCCUUCCAUAAAUUUCACCCAAGAAUAGCAAAGAUGAGCUAACGAGAAGGAGAAACGCCCACUAUGUGUUGGCUAUCUGCCUAUCCACCACCCCCAGGAUGGCCAACCACUGUUUCCAGAGAUGUUACUCAGGCUUCCAGUCCCAGGUAGGAGAGCUCAGAACUCACACAAAGCCCAGGGAUCUGGGAAAGGAAGGGCCUUCAGGAACCAGGGACUCACAUCAUCAGAAACGAAGCGGGCAGUGGUCCAGGGUUCAAGGCCAGGAUAUCCCAGCCAUCUGAGACAGACAGAAGCCUAGAAGACUUGAGUUCAGGGCCAGCAUUCUUCAUCCCCAGCCUCCAUGGAACUUAAUACUGAGUGUGGGUGGAGAAAGGGGAGCCACGGGCCCCUGAAAAACCUUGGCUCUAGGCUGGCAUCACAGGAGGAAAGGGGAGCCAGCCUGGUCCUGGGUGGCAUGAGUCACUUGAGGAGCCCCACAUUUCUCCUGCCACCCCACUGGGCCAAAAGGAGCUGCCUCUGCCUCCCCUUCUGCCAUUUGCAGAGUCAAGGUGACCAUUCCACCAGCUCUCGAAUACCAGGCUUCUAAGGGCUUCCAGUUAAUUUGUCAACACCUCCCAAGCACUUGCUGUGUCCCUGUCCUGUUCUCUGUGCUCCAUCCCACUCCCUCUAAAGUCUGUUUACACCCUUGCAAGGUGAGCAUUGCAUUAUGGUUCCUGUUUUAGAGAUGAGGAAACUGAGGCCCAGGGAGUAAAAUAAUGUGCCCAGGGACACACAGCCAGUAUUGAGACAAAGUACAAAUCUCAGUUUGACCCAAACUGAAAAUUACGAAUCAGUUCUGAUUGUAACUCCUGGGGCUAGUCCAGGAGAGUGAGGCACGCUGUCUUGUCCUGGGUGAGAGGUGUGGUUUCCUCUCCUGGUAAGAUGCUAUGUUUGAGAUUUAAUUCCCACAUAGGGCCAGAGCCAAGGGGAUGAAAACUGAGUAGAAAAGCAUUUCUGAUCAAAAGGACAUUUUGAAUCUCUAUUUCAUAACAUCAGAUAAGAGAUUUUCAAGGACAAAUACAAUUUUACGGAUAUUUCCUCAGAUAUGAUUAAGAAAGAGACAGAUUUCAGCACUCAGAUUUCCUGGGGCUGGCAUAGGCUGAAGACCAGGAAAACAAGACACUGUAUCUUAGCUCAAGUAAUGAACCCACAGGGACACUGUUUCCCCAUGCAGAAGGCAGACCAGUGAUUUGUCACGCUAUGCUCAGAUGAGAAUGUUUGAUAUGGUUUGGAUCUGUGUCCCCGCCAAGUCUCAUGUAGAAUUGUAAUCCCCAGUGUUGGAGGUAAAGCCUGGUGGGAAGUGAUUGGAUCAUGGGGGUGGAUUUCUCAUGAACGGUUUCUCACCAUCCCCGCUUGGUACUGUCGUUGCAAUAGUGAGUGAGUUCUCGUGAGAUCUGUUCAUUUGAAAGUGUGUGGCACCUCCCCCCUCUCUCUCUGGCUCCUGCUUUGGCCACAUAAGACAUGCCUGCUUCCCUUUCUGCCAUGAUUAUAAUUUUCCUGAGACUUCCCCAGAAGCCAAGCAGAUGCUAGCAUCAUGCUUCCUGUACAGCCUGCAGAACUAUGAUCCAAUUAAAGCUUUUUUCUUUGUAAAUUACUCAAUAUCAGGUAUUUCUUUAUAGCAAUGCAAGAACAGCCUCUUCCAAUGUUCUUAAUAAAAUUAAGAAGCUGCAGCUAUUAAGCACUUAGCAUGUGUCAGAUACACUGACACAAACAACAUUACUGUGGUGCAGAUUCAUUUGUUCCAUUUUACAGAGGAGGCAACUGAGAGGUAGAGAUUAGAGCGUUUGCCCCUAAGUGUGUGGCUGGGGAGAAGCAGAGCUAGGAUGUGAAUGCGUGUCUCUCCCUACAGAGUCUACAGACCUUUGGGCUAUUCUGCCUCCUUCACCAACUAUAAGAAGAGUGCAGAGCCGAAAUAAGAGGAAACCAUGGAAAUACAGAGACACUAUAUUCUCUACAGAGGUGGAAAGUCUUCAUCCCACUCCCCUCUGCCACAGUAGCAGGUGUUCACUUAGAGUUUAGGUCUCCAGCUUCCCUUGUGGCCAAAAAGGGCCAAGUGUGCAUGACAUGGGCUCAGAUUCCAAGCAUGUUUUCAAGGAAGCACAGCUCUCUGGUCUUUUCUUUCUUUCUUCCAGCUGAAAUGGAAGCAUCUAAAAUGGUGGCUUGAGCAGCCCUGGAGGACCACAGCAU